CGCGGGAUGGAGCAGUUCGGUAGCUCGUCGGGCUCAUAACCCGAAGGUCGUAGGUUCAAAUCCUGCUCCCGCAA
rnacentral:tRNA from 8 species